GACGAACGCUGGCGGCGUGCCUAAUACAUGCAAGUAGAACGCACAGUUUAUACCGUAGCUUGCUACACCAUAGACUGUGAGUUGCGAACGGGUGAGUAACGCGUAGGUAACCUGCCUGGUAGCGGGGGAUAACUAUUGGAAACGAUAGCUAAUACCGCAUAAUAUUAAUUAUUGCAUGAUAAUUAAUUGAAAGGUGCAAUUGCACCACUACCAGAUGGACCUGCGUUGUAUUAGCUAGUAGGUGAGGUAACGGCUCACCUAGGCGACGAUACAUAGCCGACCUGGGAGGGUGAUCGGCCAAACUGGGACUGAGACACGGCCCAGACUCCUACGGGAGGCAGCAGUAGGGAAUCUUCGGCAAUGGACGAAAGUCUGACCGAGCAACGCCGCGUGAGUGAAGAAGGUUUUCGGAUCGUAAAGCUCUGUUGUAAGAGAAGAACGGGUGUGAGAGUGGAAAGUUCACACUGUGACGGUAUCUUACCAGAAAGGGACGGCUAACUACGUG
rnacentral:rRNA from 1 species